UACGUAGGGGCCUAGCGUUGUUCGGAAUUAUUGGGCGUAAAGGGCGCGUAGGCGGCUUUGCAAGUGACGGGUGAAAUCCCUCGGCUUAACCGAGGAACUGCCUGUCAAACUGCAUGGCUUGAGACCGGGAGAGGUGAGUGGAAUUCCCAGUGUAGCGGUGAAAUGCGUAGAUAUUGGGAGGAACACCAGUGGCGAAGGCGGCUCACUGGACCGGUACUGACGCUGAUGCGCGAAAGCGUGGGGAGCAAACAGG
rnacentral:rRNA from 1 species